rnacentral:rRNA from 1 species
GGCGCACGGGUGAGUAACACGUGGGUAACCUGCCCUUGGAACCGGGAUAACUGGCCGAAAGGCCCGCUAAUACCGGAUAAGACUUCAUGAGCUUCGGCUCAUGCGGCCAAAGUCGGCCUCUCGAAGAAGCCGGCGCCUGAGGAUGGGCCCGCGGACCAUUAGCUAGUUGGUGAGGUAACGGCUCACCAAGGCCGAGAUGGUUAGCUGGUCUGAGAGGAUGAUCAGCCACACUGGAACUGAGAUACGGUCCAGACUCCUACGGGAGGCAGCAGUGAGGAAUAUUGCGCAAUGGAGGCAACUCUGACGCAGCAACGCCGCGUGGGUGAAGAAGGCUUUCGGGUUGUAAAGCCCUGUCAGGUGGGAAGAAACCUCUUCUAGUGAAUAGCUAGAGGAACUGACGGUACCACCAAAGGAAGCACCGGCUAACUCCGUGCCAGCAGCCGCGGUAAGACGGAGGGUGCAAGCGUUGUUCGGAAUCACUGGGCGUAAAGCGCGUGUAGGCGGUUCGAUAAGUCGAGUGUGAAAGCCCGAGGCUCAACUUCGGAAGUGCAUUCGAAACUGUCGAGCUUGAGUACGGGAGAGGGAAGUGGAAUUCCUGGUGUAGAGGUGAAAUUCGUAGAUAUCAGGAGGAACACCGGUGGCGAAGGCGGCUUCCUGGACCGAUACUGACGCUGAGACGCGAAAGCGUGGGGAGCAAACAGGAUUAGAUACUCUGGUAGUCCACGCCGUAAACUGUGAGCGCUAGGUGUAGCGGGUAUUGACC